CCUACGGGUGGCAGCAGUGAGGAAUAUUGGUCAAUGGGCGCGAGCCUGAACCAGCCACGUCGCGUGAAGGAUGAAUGCCCUACGGGUUGUAAGCUUCUUUUAUAAAGGAAUAAAGUGAGGCACGUGUGCCUUUUUGUAUGUACUUUAUGAAUAAGGAUCGGCUAACUCUGUGCCAGUAGCUGCGGUAAUACGGAGGAUCCGAGCGUUUUCCGGUUUGAGUGGGUGUAAAGGGAGCGUAGGUGGAUGGUUAAUUUAGUUGGGGAAGUUUGCGGCGCAACCGUGAAAUUGCAGUUGAAACUGGCAGUCUUGAGUACAGUAGGGGUAGGCGGAAUUCGUGGUGUAGCGGUGAAAGGCUUAGAUAUCACGAAGAACUCCGA
rnacentral:rRNA from 1 species